UACGUAGGGUGCAAGCGUUGUCCGGAAUUAUUGGGCGUAAAGAGCUCGUAGGCGGUUUGUUGCGUCGGCUGUGAAAUCCCGAGGCUCAACCUCGGGUCUGCAGUCGAUACGAGCAAACUAGAGUGUUGCAGGGGAGACUGGAAUUCCUGGUGUAGCGGUGAAAUGCGCAGAUAUCGGGAGGAACACCAGUGGCGAAGGCGGCGAUCUGGGUGGAUACUGACGCUGAGGUGCGAAAGCGUGGGGAGCAAACAGG
rnacentral:rRNA from 1 species